ensembl:Mt_tRNA
AGAGGAUUAGGUUAAACAGACCUAGAGCCUUCAAAGCUCUAAGCAAAUAUUAGACAGUAUUUAUCCUCUG